AACGUAGGAGACAAACGUUAUCCGGAGUUACUGGGCGUAAAGGGCGUGUAGGUGGUUUCGUAAGUCUGGCGUGAAAUUUCUCGGCUUAACCGAGGCAGGUCGUCGGAUACUGCGGGACUUGAGGACGGUAGAGGCGUGUGGAAUUCCGGGUGUAGUGGUGAAAUGCGUAGAGAUCCGGAGGAACACCAGUGGCGAAGGCGGUUCUCUGGGAAUAUCCUGACGCUGAGGAGCGAAAGUGUGGGGAGCGAACAGG
rnacentral:rRNA from 1 species